rnacentral:rRNA from 1 species
UACGUAGGUGGCGAGCGUUGUCCGGAUUUAUUGGGCGUAAAGAGCGUGUAGGCGGCCAGGUAGGUCUGCUGUGAAAACUCGAGGCUCAACCUCGAGACGUCGGCGGAAACCAUCUGGCUAGAGUCCGGAAGAGGAGAGUGGAAUUCCUGGUGUAGCGGUGAAAUGCGCAGAUAUCAGGAAGAACACCCGUGGCGAAGGCGGCUCUCUGGGACGGUACUGACGCUGAGACGCGAAAGCGUGGGGAGCGAACAGG